rnacentral:rRNA from 1 species
ACGGCGAGUGAACCGGGAAAAGCUCAAAUUUGAAAUCUGCCAACAGGCCGAGUUGUAAUUUGUAGAUGGCUACACUGCAUAAUAGUAGAUGCUCAAGUUCUUUGGAAAAAGACAUCAUGGAGGGUGACAAUCCCGUGAGGCAUGUUACUAGGAGCAUAUAGUGGGCUUUCUAAGAGUCGAGUUGUUUGGGAAUGCAGCUCAAAGUGCGUGGUGAAUACCAUGUAAAGCUAAAUAUGGACGAGAGACCGAUAGCGAACAAGUACUGUGAAGGAAAGAUGAAAAGCACUCCGAAAGGAGAGUGAAAUAGUACGUGAAAUUGUUAAAGUGGAAGGGCUUGAGAUCAGAAUUGGUAGUUUGGGUUCCACGUCCUCUUGGGGGCGUGUACUCCCUUUCCACCGGGCCAGCGGGAGUUUCGUCUCUUGGGUAAAAGCAGUGGAAUGUAGCAGCUUGUCUGUAUUAUAGCCUCUGUUCAUACAAGACGUCGAGACUUG